AGCUGUGUGGUAAGUACAAAGCUAACUAUUCUUUCGCCUUUUACUAAAGAAUACCGUGUGCUUGCCACUUUAAACAGCAUACGCUUAUUUUUGGGAGAGCUUUCCUUGACUGGAAGGU
rfam:Lupinus angustifolius cultivar Tanjil chromosome LG08, whole genome shotgun sequence.